UACGUAGGGCGCAAGCGUUGUCCGGAAUCAUUGGGCGUAAGGAGCUCGUAGGCGGCCUGUCGCGUCCGCUGUGAAAUCCCGGGGCUUAACCCCGGGCGUGCAGUGGAUACGGGCUGGCUGGAGGCAGGCAGGGGAGAACGGAAUUCCCGGUGUAGCGGUGAAAUGCGCAGAUAUCGGGAGGAACACCGGUGGCGAAGGCGGGUCUCUGGGCCGAUACUGACGCUGAGGAGCGAAAGCGUGGGGAGCGAACAGG
rnacentral:rRNA from 1 species